rnacentral:rRNA from 1 species
GAGUUUGAUCCUGGCUCAGAUUGAACGCUGGCGGCAUGCCUUACACAUGCAAGUCGAACGGCAGCACGGGAGCAAUCCUGGUGGCGAGUGGCGAACGGGUGAGUAAUACAUCGGAACGUGCCCAGUAGUGGGGGAUAACCCGGCGAAAGCCGGACUAAUACCGCAUACGACCUACGGGUGAAAGCAGGGGAUCGCAAGACCUUGCGCUAUCGGAGCGGCCGAUGUCAGAUUAGCUUGUUGGCGGGGUAAAAGCCCACCAAGGCGACGAUCUGUAGCUGGUCUGAGAGGACGACCAGCCACACUGGGACUGAGACACGGCCCAGACUCCUACGGGAGGCAGCAGUGGGGAAUUUUGGACAAUGGGCGCAAGCCUGAUCCAGCCAUGCCGCGUGCGGGAAGAAGGCCUUCGGGUUGUAAACCGCUUUUGUCAGGGAAGAAACGCUCCGGGUUAAUACCCUGGAGUAAUGACGGUACCUGAAGAAUAAGCACCGGCUAACUACGUGCCAGCAGCCGCGGUAAUACGUAGGGUGCAAGCGUUAAUCGGAAUUACUGGGCGUAAAGCGUGCGCAGGCGGCUUUGCAAGACAGAUGUGAAAUCCCCGGGCUUAACCUGGGAACUGCAUUUGUGACUGCAUGGCUGGAGUGCGGCAGAGGGGGAUGGAAUUCCGCGUGUAGCAGUGAAAUGCGUAGAUAUGCGGAGGAACACCGAUGGCGA